CCCCGCCCCCAGCUCUGCACCAGGCAAAGCUGGGCAUAUGGGCCUGCCCCUGUCACUGAGGCGGCCAUAGCGGUGGGUGGGAACGGGAUGCUCUGUGACUCAGGUGGUGUGAGCUGAGCCCCAGGAGCCAAAGGGCAGAGGCAGGAUUGGCCAUGAGAUUCUAGCCUUGGUCUUCCGCAGUAAGCUCCACAAAGGCAGGAAAGUCUGUCCCUGUCUAGGACAGUGGCUGGCAUACGAGGGCCAUCGGUAAACACUUGGAUGAACGAGGCUCAGAGACACGCAGUGCUCAAGGUAACACAGCGAGUCAGUGAGGGAGGGGAUGUGAAACCAGGGCCAAGGCUGCAGCGGACAGCAAAUCCAAAGAAGCGUUCCGCUCAAUUCUGGGCCCCUGGUCCUCUAACUGCAUUAGCUCCAGGAUGGAUGGGCGACAGCGAUGGAUGGAUGGACGGGCGGCUGGAUGGACAGAGUGGCAGGAAGAAGAGACAGAGUGCAGGGCAUGGGUCUGGAGGCUGGGAGGCCCAGGAGGAGGCUGGCACAAUGGAGAGGGGACAGGCCAUGCCGUCCAAGGGUUUUGAAGCGUGAAGAGAAAUUCUCCAGGCUGAUCUGAAGCACAGAACAUCCCAGGGAGAGAGACCAGCUAGGAACAAGGCAGAGAAGACAGGUUUUUGUGAAUGACUAUGUUUUAAAUUACACAAGUGGCAUAUACUCAGAACGUAUCAAAACAACAGCCCACAGUUAUAAAGGGAAAAGUAACGCCUCCACACCCUGGGUCUGCAGCACACUUCUCAGAACUCACAACUAUCGUCAUCCAGGUAUCUCCAGGCUGCUUCUCUACACCUGCCCAGUCUCUUCCAUUUCUGCUGAGAGAGGGAAGUGGUGCCCCAUGUGGAAUGGGCAUGGAUCUGAUCAUUUGUGAGACUCAGCACCUGUCGGGAUGUCUGGUGGCUGUGGAUUCACAUUGCUAUUGAGGAUGACCUCUUGUGUAUCCUUCUGCCUGUUUCCUUCCACAGUGUGUUAUGUGAAUCUCCUAAUUUGAAAUCAUCUGCAACUCAUUCAAACUUUGUAAAGCCUCACGCUGCCCAAACACACUUGCCUGCUGUCUGGACAGAACAGUCAGUAUUCACCAAGUGAGAUGCUAACCAGCUAGUUGUUCCAACACCACUGGAUUGGGUAACCCUCCACUUUUGCAUUGAUUCAGGAUGCCUCCUUUAUCACCCAUUAUCUUGUAAACAAUAGGGUCUGUUGCAGGUUUACUGAAUCUGUGCCAUUGAUCUGUUUAUUCUUAUAGCGGAACCACAAGGUUUGAACGAUCGUGAUAAUAGAAUCUUGUUUAAUAUCAGAAAGCAUUCCCCCCACACACACACACACCCCCACACACACACCCUCAGUUUAUUUUUCCUAAUUUUUGACUUCUGCUGAUCUUGUUAGUUUUUCCAGAUAAAGUUUGGAAUCAUU